UAGGGAAUCUUCGCCAAUGGGGGCAACCCUGACCGAGCAACGCCGCGUGGGGGAAGAAGGUUUUCGGAUCGUAAAGCUCUUUUGUAAGAGAAGAACGUGGGGGAGAUUGGAAAGUUCACACAGUGACGUAACUUUACAAGAAAGGACGGGCUAACUCCGUGCCAGCGGCCGCGGUAAUACGUAGGUCCCGAGCGUUGUCCGGAUUUAUUGGGCGUAAAGCGAGCGCAGGCGGUUUAAUAAGUCUGAAGUUAAAGGCAGUGGCUUAACCAUUGUUCGCUUUGGAAACUGUUAAACUUGAGUGCAGAAGGGGAGAGUGGAAUUCCAUGUGUAGCGGUGAAAUGCGUAGAUAUAUGGAGGAACACCGGUGGCGAAAGCGGCUCUCUGGUCUGUAACUGACGCUGAGGCUCGAAAGCGUGGGGAGCAAACAGG
rnacentral:rRNA from 1 species